UGAAAAAUAAAUUAAACAAAUUACAAGACUUCAAAUCUCGCAACACUAGUAAAAUCUAGUUUUUUCAG
rnacentral:tRNA from 1 species